CAGAAAUUUUUAGCAGGGUGACGUAUAAUACAAUUUAGACCGCGCAUUCGGAGAUUUCAGUGUCACGAUAGGCAACCCGGAUUGCAAUAUGUACCCAGACAACAGAGAUGCCAGUCUUGCCUGUUGCCUGUGCCGUUACAAACACGUCCUAUUACUCAAUGGAGAAAAACUUGAAGAUAGUUUGUCGUGUGAUAAUUGUUUCUAAAUUGCUUAUCUUUGCUGUUGAUUCAUUGUGGUCGUGAUCGUGGUUUCAAUAAUUGAAAUGAGUUUCCACAAGAUGCAGACAGAGCUCAAGAAUGGGUUAGGUUGCACUGCAAUCCGUGAGGCUGACAAAAAAUCUGGGUAUUGGAAUGUUGCAAGGACACCGAAAAAAUCCAGCAGAGUGAGCGAGAUUCAUUUUGAGGAAAGGUUUAUGGUACCGAUCCAUAGCUCUGGACGAAUCCAUUGCUUCCUACGGCUGUGCCAACAAUUUUUCCAGCUCUUGCAGAGUGUACAGUAAAGGCUGUAGCUUUCAACAGUGAACUCUUCAGCAGCUACAGUUCCCGAUUGAAAAAGAGCACCAGGAGACUAGUUUUAAUUUCAUUGACCAUCCUCACUCCCAGAGCUUCCUCCAAAUGAUAGGUGGAAACUUGCGGCAAGCCAUGAACCUGAUGCGAGCCGCUCCCAAUAGACUG
rnacentral:lncRNA from 1 species